UUUUUUUUUUUUUUUUUUUGGUCUUUUUAGGGCCACACCCUCAGCAUAUGGAAGUUCCCAGGCUAGGGGUCCAAUCAGAGCUCAGCUGCCAGCCUACAUCACAGCCACAGCAAUGGCCAGAUCUGAGCUGUGUCUGCAACCUACACCACAGCUCAUGGUAAUGCCAGAUCCCUAACCCACUGAGUGAGGUCAGGGAUUAAACCUGCAUCCUCAUAGAUACUAGUCGGGUUAGAAACCCACUGUGCCAUAACAGGAACUCCUAUUUUUUUAAGCUACUUUUCUUUAGGCUAGGUACUAAGAUGAAAGGGCUCAAUUGGAUUGGAUAAAGGAAGAGGAAGAUUUUGAUUUGCUUGUUGAGGGAACUGUCUUCAAGGGUAUGUAGAGAGUUAUGCCAAGGAUGAUAACCACCAGGCAAAAAUCAUGGGUUAGCUUUUAGCUGAAAAUAGGCUAGAAAUAAGCCAGAACUUUCUCACAUUCAAUUGUCAGGCUUUUAAUUACUUUAAAUUUCUCCUUCAUUAUUAAAAAAAAAAAUAGAUAUCUGUGUUCUCUUCUGCCAUUUCUCAACUUAAGAAGAUAAACUGAAGGACUUUUCAGAUUUCUUUUUUGCCAGCCCUAAGGAAGAGUCAUACUAUAGCCACUGCAGAGUUUCAGAAGCAAGUAUAAAUGAACAUGGAUUCUGAGCCCAGCUAGGCAGACACCCCUCCCCCCAGCUCCCUGGCUAAUUCUAACAAUUGGAAUCUUUCUCUGGAUGGGAUUGGGAAGUUUCAUUGUCCUGGGCAGAUAGCUGCCAGCCCGAGCUGUUGAGCUGGCCUGGAGAAACCCCAGAUUCCAUUCUCUUUACCAUUGUCAUGAACAGACAGUAAAAUAAAUUCAGGCCAGUUCUCAAAACCCAGAGUUCCAAACAUUUCACUCACUGUUGGGCCCCUCAGAUUUCAUCACACCAUGGUUGGGUGGCAAAAGGUCAAUAUACAGCCGUUUUUAGGACUAAACAACACUGAGCCCUUGGAAAUUGUAGACUAUUUACUGUUGUCCCACAGUAAUUGUGGGAAGAGUUUUGGAAGGUCUUCUGAGAAAUCCAGUGUGGUAAGAAUGAAGUGAAGAAGCCACAAUUUGAAUAAAGGAAACCCAAGAGGGCUACAGGAAGUAAAGAAUUGAUGGGAGUUCCUCCUCCCUUGUGGCAAAGCCUUCAAUAGCCAGGCGUUCUGGUACUCACUGACAAGACCUCAGGCGUUGGGCCAUCAUUCAACUGCUUUGUUUAGUUCAGCAGAUAGUGCCAUAUUCUGGGUACACGCUAGCUUCUGGGGAUAGAAUAAUGAAUUAUAUCCAAUAAUAAUUCGUAAGUCUCUCUUCAUGAGACUUACAUCCUACAUUAGGCCAUGGUGUGUAAACACCUAUUUCAAUAAUCAAUCUUUCCUUUCUCGCUCCACCUGGAUAGUCUUCCAGGCACAGCUUAUGUGUCACCUCAUCAGCAGAAAGCUCCCUUGACCUCACUUACUGGGCUUGGUCUCUUUGUGUUUUUAUUUCAUAGCACGUUUCACAUUUGUCACCUAAGAAUUUAUUUGUGUAAAUAUUUUCUAACACACAUCUCCAUUAAGGGUACUAUCUGGUUUCGUCAGUGCAUUCUUCUCAUUGCCUAGGGCAAUGUAAGUAAACUUGAUAAGAUUUUGAAAUCAAACUUAAUGGUUACCAAAGGGGAAACCAUGGGAGGAAAAGAUAAAUAAGGGGGAUGGGAUUAACAGAUAUACACCAUUAUAUAUAAAAUAGAUAACUAACAAAGACCUACUGUAUAGCAUAGGGAAAUUUAUUCAAUAUUUGUAAUAACCUACAUGCAAAACAAGAAUGGAGCUAUAUAUAAGUCAACUAUACGCCAAUAAAAAAUUUUUAAGGCGUUCCCAUCAUGGCACAGUGGAAACAAAUCCAGCUAGGAACCAUGAGGUUGUGGGUUCAAUCCGUGGCCUCGCUCAGUGGGUUAAGGAUCCGGCAUUGCCAUGAGCUGUGGUGUAGGUCGCAGACGCAGCUCGGAUCUGGCAUUGCUGUGGCUGUGGCAUAGGCCGGCAGCUACAGCUCUGAUUAGACUCCUAGCCUGAGAACCUCCAUAUGCCACGGAUAUGGCCCUAAAAAAGACAAAAAGACCAAAAAAAAAAAAUUUAAAGUGAACUUGAUGAAUGACUGAAUGGAUCAAUGAAAUAUAUUAAAAGCAAUGAUGAGAAUAUGCAGAGGACACUAUGUGAGCACAGGAGACCUCACCCCUGCUAAGAAGUUCUAGAAAGGGGUCCUGAGAAAAAUAAUUGAUCUGAAUCUUAAAGGGUGAGGAGAUGUUCACCAGGCAAGAACAGAGGGAAGGGGUCCACUCAGCUGUGAAAGCAGUAUGAAAAACCCCAGGAGCAUGAAAUGGGGACAGUUACAAGUAAGGCAGCAUUACUUGUGGGACAUGUAUGGGGGUGGAGACAUGGCAGGGAAAGAAUAUGGAAGACUUUGUAGGUCAUGUCCAAAAAGCCCUGACUUUCUCUACAGGCAGUAUGGAACUCUGAAGAGUUUUAAGACAAGAAGAAGUAACAUGGCCACACUGGUCACUUACCAUUCUCUAGACAAAGCAGGAAAAUAAAGAUGCCCACAGCAUGAUGGGCAGCAGAGACGUAAGCCUCUAGGCCGUAUCCACCCUCCCCCCACCCCCAGUUCUUCCUAGUAUGUCCCUGUGGCAAUUGUUAUGGGGGUCCACAGUGCAUAAUCCCAUGUGAACCUGUUGAGACAGCAAAUACUAACUGCACCUCUCUCACCUGCCCAACUCUUGUGGGGUUCCAUAAGAAGUAAGCAAAUCCAGCUAGGGAAGCAGAACACUUAUGGAACAACCAGGAAACAAACUCCACAUAAGUCUAUUACACAAUAUAAAUUAAAAACAAACCCUUCAGACAAAGUGGGACCAGAAAUGUGUGUGGUGAGCGGGGAAAGGCUCUGGAAGAGCUGAGUCUUGAUCCAGUCCUUUAAGACAGUGAUGGGCGUGAAGGGGCACAGCUAGAGGAGGGGCUCAGAAGUGAACCGCCUCGGGGAGCCACGGUGGCAGUGGACCACCACCCAGUGGAAGAAGGCUGCCUGGAGGCUUUGGACAGGCUAUUUGAAGAAACAACUGGUGUGAUGGUAGCUCUUAUCAAUUUACUCUAGUUUGUAAACUUUUUUUUUUUUCCCCACUGUACAGCAAGGGGAUCAAGUUAUCCUUACAUGUAUACAUUUUAGUUUGGGGUGCUAAGCAGGGUCACUAUGGUGCUGGCGGGGUGGGGUGAGCUCAGAGCAGGGCACAAGGUCUGAAUAGGGUGAGGGGGCUUCUCCACAUAGAGGCACCUGGAGCAGGUAUCCAGCCUGACUGUAGUAGUUGCUUUGUGGCUAUGGAGGAGAGAAUCCUUGUGUGUAGGAAAUGCAUGCUCAAGUAUUUAGACAAGGCAUCUUGGAGAGCAGCAUGUUAGGACAACAUGUCAACACUUUUCUCUCAAAUGGUUUGUGGGGGAAAGGUUUUGCACUAAGCUUACAACAUUUCUGUAAGUUUGAGCUAUUUCAAAUAACACUACUUUUAAAAAAUGCUUAAAGACUGGUAACUUACAGGUUCUUAUCUAUGAAUUUGAGCUAAAUCAUAGACAUAUCACACACACUUAUCGUUUCAUAAAUGUAGAAAAUAUUUGCCUAUAAUAUUUUAAAUUCUGUCUGUACAAAAACUGAAAAAGAAGAAAAAGAAGGGGAAAGAAAGAAGAGAAAAAGAAAAGACUUAGCAUCCAAACUGUAAAUAGUGAGGUAAUCCCAGAAAUGCCUCGAUCCCUGGGCUUUGUCUUGCGAAAUCAGCCUUAAUUUCCCAUAUCUGUUCCUCAGAUUAAUUCACUCAGUUACAGAACAGCAAUGGCCUUUCCCUGUGCCAGGAAUACAGUGGAGGGUGGGGAGCGAGUCCCCUGCCUCUGUGGCACUUUGCCAUUACUGUUGUACUGCAGCCAUUGUUAAACAGUAACAGUAGCAUCUGGAAAGGCCCUGAGGUGCCAAGCAGAGCCCAGAGCAGCAAAGUUCUUCCUUCCCACAGACACCUGCAGUGCUGCCUGACCUGCAUGCUCUCAGCCCUUCUCUGGCUACUGUCAUUCUCAACUCCUUUAUUUUGCUUUAUUUCAUAGCACUUCUUUAUCUUGCCAGGUGAGAACAGGGAUGUUGGUUUUUUACUGUCUAUCUCCAGCCCUUAAACAUUAGCAGACCUAGGAGGACUCAGUAAAUAUUUGUGAAUGAGUGAAUGAAUGAAUGAGUGCUAUCAAUGGAGAAGGACUGGAUGCUGGGAACAUGACACUGGACCCUGGGACUAAGGAGGCAUGAAGGACAGGCUUUCCUGAGGAAGUAACAGUUCCACAGACACUGUAAAAAAACAGCAGGAAAUGCCAAGUGAAGGGUGAUAAGGUAAGCUUAAUGUGUGCAGGGAGAUGCCACGCUGUCAUGGUCUGUCAGAGGUCACCACUCUCCUCAGCAUGCCUUUUAGUGACGUGCUUCUGUUCUGAGACAGUGUCCCCAUCUUUCCCUUCUCUGUUCUCUCUCCCAAAAGCUGACCAGGGAGGCAGCCUUUCCUUCUUUUAAUCUGGAUGCAGGCCCCCAGGGCUGACUAGGAGUUGUUUCCUACAAUAUAGAGAGAGGAGCUUGACGCAGGGGUUCAGUCUCCAGUGAAACAGCUGACUAGCUGUGUUGCCUAAGGCGAGUCUCUUCACCCUCUGAGACUCUUUCCCCACCUAAGAAAAAUCUAUCUAAUCACCAUGAAUAUUUCAGAGUUGGAGCAAAGAGAAAUUCACGGGAACACACUUUAGAGUCUGUCAUUAUUUUGAGCACACAACCCAGACAUGAGGGCCAAAAUAAAAGAUGGUAGCCACCGACAAUGAGGCAGUCUUUGUACACAGAUCAACUGCAUCCUGUCAACAAAAGAACUAGAGAGAAGAUUCAGAUCCACACAUAAAGGCUUCCUCUGUUUAUCUCGACCUCGGCACAGGUAGUAACUGCCACAUUUCCUAAGGAGCAUGUCUCCUGCCUAACUCUGAAGUGUUCUAGAGCUUCACUCUGGGGCUCUCUAACAUAGCCCCUUCUUCAAAGGGAGUGUGGAGAAGUGAAAUUGCCUGUGCUUCAAUCCUGGAACUAGCGUUUAUUAUCUUGAGUGCCUCCGUUCCCUCCUCCUGAAAAGAAUGCGAAUUGUACCUACCUUGUAGGGUUUUUGUGAAGAUUAGUUAAUUUUUAUCAAGUGUUUACAAAAGUAUCUUGCAAAGAGAAAGUGCUUAAUAGGCGUGCCCAUCAUGGCUCAGGGGUUACGAACCCAAUUAGCAUCCAUGAGGACAAAGGUUUGAUCUCCGGUCUCGCUCAGUGGGUUAAGUAUCCCAUGUUGCUGUGGCUAUGGCAUAGGCCAGCUGUUGCAGCUCCAAUUCAGCCCCUCCCCUAGCCCAGGAACUUCCAUAUGCCAUGGGUAUGGCCCU
rnacentral:lncRNA from 1 species